UGGAGAAAGACAUAGAGGAUAUGCUGUUGGCUUGAAACUAAUUUUUAGGGGGGUCGAUGCCUUCCUUUCUUAUU
rnacentral:tRNA from 1 species